rnacentral:tRNA from 1 species
GUCCAUCGAGCUCAUAGCUCAGUUGGUUAGAGCAUGGUGCUGAUGAUGCCAAGGUUGCAGGUUCGAUGCCCGUAUGGGACA